rnacentral:rRNA from 1 species
UACAGGGGGGGCAAGCGUUGUUCGGAAUUACUGGGCGUAAAGGGCUCGUAGGCGGCCAACUAAGUCACACGUGAAAUCCCCAGGCUUAACCUGGGAACUGCGUGUGAUACUGGAUGGCUUGAAUUCGGGAGAGGGAUGCAGAAUUCCAGGUGUAGCGGUGAAAUGCGUAGAUAUCAGGAGGAACACCAGUGGCGAAGGCGGUGCUCUGGGCCGGAACUGACGCUGAGGAGCGAAAGCGUGGGGAGCAAACAGG